rnacentral:rRNA from 1 species
UGAGGAAUAUUGGACAAUGGGCGCAAGCCUGAUCCAGCCAUGCCGCGUGCAGGAUGACGGUCCUAUGGAUUGUAAACUGCUUUUGUACAGGAAGAAACAGUUCUACGUGUAGAACCUUGACGGUACUGUAAGAAUAAGGAUCGGCUAACUCCGUGCCAGCAGCCGCGGUAAUACGGAGGAUCCAAGCGUUAUCCGGAAUCAUUGGGUUUAAAGGGUCCGUAGGCGGUUAGAUAAGUCAGUGGUGAAAGCCCAUCGCUCAACGGUGGAACGGCCAUUGAUACUGUCUGACUUGAAUUAUUAGGAAGUAACUAGAAUAUGUAGUGUAGCGGUGAAAUGCUUAGAGAUUACAUGGAAUACCAAUUGCGAAGGCAGGUUACUACUAAUGGAUUGACGCUGAGACGCGAAAGCGUGGGGAGCAAACAGGAUUAGAUACCCAGGUAGUCCCUGAGCGGGCUGGCAAGGCGCAU